UCUCUGUAAGAAAUGAUGACCCUGUCGCAGUUAUUCACCCUUUUGUCACAUCUUGGCUAACUACAGCAAUGUGGUAGUUACAGGUACCUGCUAUUGGAUGGGAGUUUCGAGGGUGCUUUUUUUUGUAUGCAUCUCCUCAGCAGCAGAAGCUAUUGCAAACACAUUGAUCGAAUCCUGCCUUGACUCUCAUCCCACAGGGUUCUAGGUCCCAUUCAAGGUCUUGGACUUCUUCGAAACCUAAGACUUGGCUAGGUAGAAGGCCAACAAAAGGUCCAGAAUGCACCUCUCCCUCCUCUCUCAGGUGCAAGCAAACCAUAAGCCCGAACAAGCCAUCUGUCCCCGGCGGAAACGGGACUGGGCUGCUGCGACCCCCGAAACGGUCUCCCUGCGACCACCCGGGACACACCGAGCCUGCGCUGAACCAAGGCACGAUCGGACAGAGACUUUGGGACCUGGCCCUAGUUCAGUGAGAAAGGGCCCCAGAGCUGGUGCAGGCUGGAAAGAUAAGAGAGUUACAGGCAGUUUGCAUUCCUGUGCUUCACACUCCGGGAGGGAGGAUGUCAAGGCUUUGAAAUAAGGCCUGCUUGGGCACCAGGACCCUGGGAAACAAAGCCUCCCCUCACUGCUGAAACAGUGUUAAUUAGGGCGGGGUCUGGAUUAUAUCCUCUUCUUCAGGACCUUGGAAGAUAACACCUACUGUCCCUGCUGGGGCAGUGCUAAUUGCUGGAACGCCACCUCUUUGUUAGGGCCUUGAGAGACAAGGGUGGGACCCAAGGAAUCAAAACACAUCUGUCAGCAGAAACCGCAACAGUAAAGAUAAGGGAGAAAAACAGCCUGCCUAGGAACAACGAGGAGACCCAAUAAGGAGCAGGAGACCCCAGACCUAAAAAUUACUAUUGGUCUGAACUACCGCGUGACGGGUGGGAAACUUAAUUUGAAAAAGCUAUAAUUGCCCAGGGGUUUCUUUGUUCAGGGUCUCUCUUCGGAGGCACCCAACUCGAGCUGUAACUACUGCACGCGUGU